rnacentral:miRNA from 1 species
AUAAAAUAUAAUGGUUUUGUUUGUGGAAACACCACGUAAAUUUAUUACUGCAGUAAUAAAUUUACGUGGUGUUUCCACAAACAAAACCAUUUUAUUUGCCUUGUUGUUGU